GGAAAACAAAAAUUUCAAAGGCCACUAAGUAAUAUAUAAUCAAACAAUGUACAAAACUAUUCAGGUUGUGUGAUUAGAGACAACUCCAUUAGCCAUGGUGUAUAUGUCAACAGCAAGAUCAGCAACUAUAAUUUCCCAUAUCGUAACUGAUGCAGUGCCUAUAGACUCAUCAGAACUGAUACUAAGGCCUGAAAUGAUAAUUCACUAAAAUGUUAAUGUUGG
rnacentral:misc_RNA from 1 species